rfam:Brachypodium distachyon strain Bd21 chromosome 4, whole genome shotgun sequence.
GAUAUACUCCCUCCGUCUGAUAUUAAGUGUCACAACUUUGUCUACAUACACAUGCAUCUAGACGUGUUUUAGUGUGUAGGUACAUGCAUAUCUAGACAACUUUGCGACACUUAAUAUGGGACGGAGGGAGUAGUAU